GCCCCUAUAGCUCAACGGUAGAGCUCGGCACUGUUAAUGUCGUGAUAGAUGUUCGAUUCAUCUUAGGGGCU
rfam:Chaetomium globosum CBS 148.51 scaffold_27 mitochondrial scaffold, whole genome shotgun sequence.